AUUGAACGCUGGCGGCAGGCCUAACACAUGCAAGUCGAGCGAGAAAGGUCUUCGGACUGAGUACAGCGGCGGACGGGUGAGUAAUGCGCAGGAAUCUACCUGGUAGUGGGGGAUAACUCGGGGAAACUCGAACUAAUACCGCAUACGCCCUACGGGGAAAGCGGGGGACCUUCGGGCCUCGCGCUAUCAGAUGAGCCUGCGUAGGAUUAGCUUGUUGGUGAGGUAAAGGCUCACCAAGGCGACGAUCCUUAGCUGGUCUGAGAGGAUGAUCAGCCACACUGGAACUGAGACACGGUCCAGACUCCUACGGGAGGCAGCAGUGGGGAAUAUUGCGCAAUGGGCGAAAGCCUGACGCAGCCAUGCCGCGUGUGUGAAGGAGGCCCUUGGGUUGUAAAGCACUUUCAAUUGGGAAGAAAGGUUAGCGUGUUAAUAGCACGUAGCUGUGACGUUACCUUUAGUAAGAAGCACCGGCUAACUCCGUGCCAGCAGCCGCGGUUAAAG
rnacentral:rRNA from 1 species